UACGAAGGGGGCUAGCGUUGCUCGGAAUGACUGGGCGUAAAGGCGCGUAGGCGGCUCAUACAGUCAGGCGUGAAAUUCCUGGGCUCAACCUGGGGACUGCGCUUGAGACGUGUGGGCUUGAGUGGGGAAGAGGGUCGUGGAAUUCCCAGUGUAGAGGUGAAAUUCGUAGAUAUUGGGAAGAACACCGGUGGCGAAGGCGGCGACCUGGUCCUUGACUGGCGCUGAGGCGCGAAAACGUGGGGAGCAAACAGG
rnacentral:rRNA from 1 species